rnacentral:rRNA from 1 species
GUGGGGAAUCUUGCGCAAUGGGCGAAAGCCUGACGCAGCCAUGCCGCGUGAAUGAUGAAGGUCUUAGGAUUGUAAAAUUCUUUCACCGGGGACGAUAAUGACGGUACCCGGAGAAGAAGCCCCGGCUAACUUCGUGCCAGCAGCCGCGGUAAUACGAAGGGGGCUAGCGUUGCUCGGAAUUACUGGGCGUAAAGGGCGCGUAGGCGGACAGUUUAGUCAGAGGUGAAAGCCCAGGGCUCAACCUUGGAAUUGCCUUUGAUACUGGCUGUCUUGAGUACGGGAGAGGUGAGUGGAACUCCGAGUGUAGAGGUGAAAUUCGUAGAUAUUCGGAAGAACACCAGUGGCGAAGGCGGCUGUCUGGACUGUAACUGACGCUGAGGCGCGAAAGCGUGGGGAGCAAACAGGAUUAGAAACCCUGGUAGUCC